CCUCAGAGUCAGUUAGGAGCUGCUUGGGGUGGGGGGAAGGGGAGUGUCGUGACCCUAGAGCUAGAUUGGCUGGUGUCGCGACAGUGUGAGGACCCAAGAACGCCGGAACUGCAAGCGACUUUUGAGGCUGGCUAGCCCAACCCCCUCUCGUCGUACGGAUCGAGAAACUGAGGCCCAGAGGGCGCGACUGGCCGGGAAGUCGGGAGGUCCACGAGUGGCCAAAGGGAGCCGGCGUCCCGAAGCUUACUGCGGGGGACGAGGGCACAAUGCGAAGCUUGAGGGCAGGAGUCUGUCACCCAACACCGUCUUCAUGCGGUGGCUUAGAGCUGACAAAGGGUUUUCCUCCCCGCCUCCCGUUGAGCUAGAGAAUGCAGCUACUGUGUCAGGCCCCUUUUGCAAAGAAGAGGCAAUUCGAGAUUCUGAUCCCUGAAAUGACAAAAUGACAGCUAUCUGUUAAGUUGGGUUUUUUUAACGUGAAGGUGAAAACAUACACAAAACGAUAGGAAUGGAAAUCAGUGUGGAGCAAGGAAGCCAACAGAAUCAAAUAUCACAUCACUGAAGAAAAAUCAUUAUGUUCAUCAAAGGAAGAAACAUAAUCAUGUGCAUUUUAUGUUUACAAAACAGUGCAAAUGGCUUAAAGUAAAAGAAGUCAAGAUCGACUAACAUUCAGAACGUACAAAAAUCAAUCAAGAGCUCUGGAAACAUGAAGAGCUAUACCAUGCGUAAAAGCUCCGGGGAACUUAAAUGGGUGCUGGAAAGCACGAAUCUCAAGUCGAAGAUCUGGUAAAGUCAGAGAAGUUUAUAGACAUUCCUUUAACCGAUAAUAAGCUGCUUGGCCUUAGGAAGCACUUACCUUCACGAUGGAUUGCUAAUUAUAUAUAUGCACACACACACACACACAUGCAUACAUAUACACAUACACACAUAUGUAUAAUCUAAAUGAAAUUUCAAACAUGAAAUUUAUUUGCAUGAAUUCUGAGGUUUCGUAAAUAAUUUAAAUCAAAAAAUGUUCCAGGUCCUACAGCUGUACAAAUAGUUAAAUAGCUACCAAUGUUGCACUCGGUUGAAAUUAAAAGUGUUUACAAAGUUUAAUGAAUAGAAUUUGUACAAGAGUGAGAAAUGCUUUAGCAAUAGGUCAUAUAUCAGAUUUAAUAACAAUAAAUUUGGAGUGGAAAGAGUUAGCAGAUCAGGAUGCAACUCCAUGUGUCAAAUCAGGGUUGAAUUGCAUCUGUAGAUUAGCUAUGGGUAGAGGAGUCUGAAAUUACUAAAAGCAUUCUGUAAGAAUCAGCUCUAUGGAAUUUACAAUAAAGAAUAUUCGCAUAUUUUAUUUUUUGAAAAUAAUAUGCUACACAUCCUUUAUAUCAGUAAAAUUUGUAAUAAACAUCUA